CCCUUCCCCAUCUGAAGUCCCUGCCCCCCAGCUGGAGCAGCACACUCCAUGCUGAAUGCGGCUGUCUCUCGCUGCAGCCCGGAGCCUGAUGUUGACAGACGAACUGGGACACCCGCCCCCCAACCCAUCCAUCUCUAUUUAAACAAGAAGGAGUGACAGAGGGGAUUUGGCGAUUUCCUCCUUUGUCCCAGAGACAGAGUGUACUCACAAGCUGUAUUAAAACCAAGUGGAACAUAGUUGAAGGCAAGGGGACAUCUGUCCCACCAUCUGCAUAGACAGAACACAAACAAGCAGCAGAAAUCAAUAGCACAAUUUAUUUAUUUUUUAUUUUUUGCAUACCAAUUGUGUAAGCGCUUCACCAUGCAUGCAUGUCUGCCUGUA